rnacentral:rRNA from 1 species
UACGUAGGUGGCGAGCGUUGUCCGGAUUUAUUGGGUUUAAAGGGUGCGUAGGCGGAUUUUUAAGUCAGCGGUAAAAUGUCCGGGCUCAACCCGGGCCGGCCGUUGAAACUGGGGAUCUUGAGUGGGCGAGAAGUAUGCGGAAUGUGUGGUGUAGCGGUGAAAUGCAUAGAUAUCACGCAGAACUCCGAUUGCGAAGGCAGCAUACCGGCGCCCUACUGACGCUGAGGCACGAAAGCGUGGGUAUCGAACAGG